rnacentral:rRNA from 1 species
AUUGAACGCUGGCGGCAGGCCUAACACAUGCAAGUCGAACGGUAGCACAGAGAGCUUGCUCUUGGGUGACGAGUGGCGGACGGGUGAGUAAUGUCUGGGAAACUGCCCGAUGGAGGGGGAUAACUACUGGAAACGGUAGCUAAUACCGCAUAACGUCUUCGGACCAAAGUGGGGGACCUUCGGGCCUCACACCAUCGGAUGUGCCCAGAUGGGAUUAGCUAGUAGGUGGGGUAAAGGCUCACCUAGGCGACGAUCCCUAGCUGGUCUGAGAGGAUGACCAGCCAAACUGGAACUGAGACACGGUCCAGACUCCUACGGGAGGCAGCAGUGGGGAAUAUUGCACGAUGGGCGCAAGCCUGAGGCAGCCAUGCCGCGUGUAUGAAGAAGGCCUUCGGGUUGUAAAGUACUUUCAGCGGGGAGGAAGGCGAUGUGGUUAAUAACCGCGUCGAUUGACGUUACCCGCAGAAGAAGCACCGGCUAACUCCGUGCCAGCCGCCGCCGUAA